UUGCUCUUCAACGAGGAAUGCCUAGUAAGCGCGUGUCAUCAGCAUGCGUUGAUUACGUCCCUGCCCUUUGUACACACCGCCCGUCGCUACUACCGAUUGAAUGGCUCAGUGAGGCCUUCGGACUGGCUUGGGGAGGUUGGCAACGACCACCCUAAGCCGGAAAGUUCGUCAAACUCGGUCAUUUAGAGGAAGUAAAAGUCGUAACAAGGUUUCCGUAGGUGAACCUGCGGAAGGAUCAUUAUGAAUAAGUAGUUCGCUACUUUGCUGGGGGAGAUGGGAAAGUCCUGGCUGAAAAGCCAGUGUACCGGUACCUGCACCCCUAUCAUACCCUUGUCUUUUGAGUACUUAUGUUUCCUUGGUAGGCUUGCUUACCAGUUGGACAAUUUACAAACCUUUAUUUUAUAAAUCAGCGUCUGAAUAAAUUAAUAAUUACAACUUUCAACAACGGAUCUCUUGGUUCUGGCAUCGAUGAAGAACGCAGCGAAAUGCGAUAAGUAGUGUGAAUUGCAGAAUUCAGUGAAUCAUCGAAUCUUUGAACGCACAUUGCGCCCCUUGGUAUUCCAUGGGGCAUGCCUGUUCGAGCGUCAUUUGUACCCUCAAGCUAUGCUUGGUGCUGGGUGUUUGUCCUUUGCUUUGCUUGGACUCGCCUUAAAAUAAUUGGCAGCCAUUGUUUUGGUAGAAAGCGCAGCACAUUUUGCAAUUUUCCUCCAAGAGUAUUAGCGACCAACAAGCCUUUUUAACACUUUUGACCUCGGAUCAGGUAGGGAUACCCGCUGAACUUAAGCAUAUCAAUAAGCGGAGGA
rnacentral:rRNA from 1 species